GACGUAGGGCGCGAGCGUUGUCCGGAUUUAUUGGGCGUAAAGAGCUCGUAGGCGGUUUGUCGCGUCUGCUGUGAAAGACCGGGGCUCAACUCCGGAUCUGCGGUGGGUACGGGCAGACUAGAGUGAUGUAGGGGAGACUGGAAUUCCUGGUGUAGCGGUGAAAUGCGCAGAUAUCAGGAGGAACACCGAUGGCGAAGGCAGGUCUCUGGGCAUUAACUGACGCUGAGGAGCGAAAGCAUGGGGAGCGAACAGG
rnacentral:rRNA from 1 species